CGAGCACUAAGCUGUCCUGUCCCUUGGAACAGUUCCACUCAGAUGUGGCGGGUAGAGGUUUCCACAAUGGGCCCUCAUUGUGCUACUCUAUACAGAGGAUGAGAGCAAAAGUUGCUACUCUUCCCAAUGUACAGCUGGAGCAAGGUACAGUCACAUCCCUGCUUGAAGAAAAUGGAACAAUUAAGGGGGUUCCAAUUAUACAAAAAUAAGGAUGGUCAAGCAUUUAGGCAUUUAAAUCUCAUGCUGCUCUUACCAUUGUUUGUGAUGGUUGCUCUUCAAAUCUGCGCCGUACUCUUUGCAAGUCUCAGGUAGAAGUGCACUCUUGUUUUGUGGGAUUAGUUUUGGAUAACUGUGAACUACCAUUUGCAAAUCACGGGCAUGUUAUAAUAGCCGAUCCAUCUCCAA